rnacentral:rRNA from 1 species
CCUACGGGUGGCAGCAGUGGGGAAUAUUGCGCAAUGGGCGAAAGCCUGACGCAGCGACGCCGCGUGAGUGAUGAAGGUCUUCGGAUCGUAAACCUCUGUCAGCAGGGAAGAACGGUCCCUGUGCUAAUCAGCCGUGCAUUGACGGUACCUGCAAAGAAAGCACCGGCUAACUCCGUGCCAGCAGCCGCGGUAAUACGGAGGGUGCGAGCGUUCAUCGGAAUUACUGGGCGGAAAGCGCUCGUAGGCGGUCUGUCAAGUCAAGUGUGAAAUCCCCGGGCUCAACGUGGGAACUGCAUUUGAAACUGGCAAACUGGAGUGUGGGAGAGGAUAGUGGAAUUCCAGGUGUAGGAGUGAAAGCCGUAGAUAUCUGGAGGAACAUCAGUGGCGAAGGCGACUAGCUGGGACAUAACUGACGCUGAGGAGCGAAAGCGUGGGUAGCAAACAGGAUUAGAUACCCUUGUAGUC